GCCCGGGUGGUCUAGUGGUAUGAUUCUCGCUUAGGGAUUAAACCCAAGCAUAUCUGCGAGAGGUCCCGCGUUCGAUCCGCGGCUCGGGCC